AUUGAACGCUAGCGGGAGGCUUUACACAUGCAAGUCGAACGAGUGGCGGACGGGUGAGUAAUAUAUCGGAAAGUGCCCAGUAGAGGGGGAUAACUACUGGAAAGAGUGGCUAAUACCGCAUACGAUUGGAGCGGCCGAUAUGGGAUUAGCUAGUUGGUGGGGUAACGGCUCACCAAGGCGACGAUCCCUAGCUGGUUUGAGAGGAUGACCAGCCACACUGGGACUGAGACACGGCCCAGACUCCUACGGGAGGCAGCAGUGGGGAAUUUUGGACAAUGGGGGAAACCCUGAUCCAGCCAUGCCGCGUGUAUGAGAAGGCCUUCGGGUUGUAAAGUACUUUUGGCAGAGAAGCGGUAUCCGCAGAAUAAGCACCGGCUAACUCCGUGCCAGCAGCCGCGGUAAUAC
rnacentral:rRNA from 1 species